CCUACGGGAGGCAGCAGUAAGGAAUAUUGGUCAAUGGACGCAAGUCUGAACCAGCCAUGCCGCGUGCAGGAUGAAGGCCCUCUGGGUUGUAAACUGCUUUUAUAGGGGACGAAAAAGGGACUUUCUAGUUCAACUGACGGUACCCUAGGAAUAAGCACCGGCUAACUCCGUGCCAGCAGCCGCGGUAAUACGGAGGGUGCAAGCGUUAUCCGGAUUUACUGGGUUUAAAGGGUGCGUAGGUGGGUCGGUAAGUCAGCGGUGAAAUCUUCGAGCUUAACUCGGAAACUGCCAUUGAUACUAUCGAUCUUGAAUCAUCUGGAGGUAAGCGGAAUAUGUCAUGUAGCGGUGAAAUGCUUAGAUAUGACAUAGAACACCAAUUGCGAAGGCAGCUUACUACGGAUGUAUUGACACUGAGGCACGAAAGCGUGGGGAUCAAACAGGAUUAGAUACCCUGGUAGUCCACGCCCUAAACGAUGGAUACUCGACAUACGUGAUAUACUAUGUGUGUCUGNGNGAAGANAUAAGUAUACCACCUGGAGUACGAGCGCAGAGUAGAACGUACGAAAGAAAGUUAGACGGACGUGAGACGUACGACCGACGGACGACGACGAGGGGAGGAGGG
rnacentral:rRNA from 1 species